UACGUAGGGUGCAAGCGUUGUCCGGAAUUAUUGGGCGUAAAGAGCUCGUAGGCGGUUUGUCGCGUCUGCUGUGAAAACUCGGGGCUUAACCCCGGGCCUGCAGUGGGUACGGGCAGAUUAGAGUGCGGUAGGGGAGACUGGAAUUCCUGGUGUAGCGGUGAAAUGCGCAGAUAUCAGGAGGAACACCGGUGGCGAAGGCGGGUCUCUGGGCCGUAACUGACGCUGAGGAGCGAAAGCGUGGGGAGCGAACAGG
rnacentral:rRNA from 1 species